GACGAACGCUGGCGGCGUGCCUAAUACAUGCAAGUUGAGCGCUGAAGGUUUGUACUUGUACCAACUGGAUGAGCAGCGAACGGGUGAGUAACGCGUGGGGAAUCUGCCUUUGAGCGGGGGACAACAUUUGGAAACGAAUGCUAAUACCGCAUAAAAACUUUAAACACAAGUUUUAAGUUUGAAAGAUGCAAUUGCAUCACUCAAAGAUGAUCCCGCGUUGUAUUAGCUAGUUGGUGAGGUAAAGGCUCACCAAGGCGAUGAUACAUAGCCGACCUGAGAGGGUGAUCGGCCACAUUGGGACUGAGACACGGCCCAAACUCCUACGGGAGGCAGCAGUAGGGAAUCUUCGGCAAUGGACGAAAGUCUGACCGAGCAACGCCGCGUGAGUGAAGAAGGUUUUCGGAUCGUAAAACUCUGUUGGUAGAGAAGAACGUUGGUGAGAGUGGAAAGCUCAUCAAGUGACGGUAACUACACAGAAAGGGACGGCUAACUACGUG
rnacentral:rRNA from 1 species